AGGCCCUUCGGGGUGCUCGAGUGGCGAACGGGUGAGUAACACGAGGGUGAUCUGCCCUGCACUUUGGGAUAAGCCUGGGAAACUGGGUCUAAUACCGAAUAGGACCAUGGCAUUCAUGUGCUGUGGUGGAAAGCUUUUGCGGUGUGGGAUGGGCCCGCGGCCUAUCAGCUUGUUGGUGGGGUAAUGGCCUACCAAGGCGACGACGGGUAGCCGGCCUGAGAGGGUGACCGGCCACACUGGGACUGAGAUACGGCCCAGACUCCUACGGGAGGCAGCAGUGGGGAAUAUUGCACAAUGGGCGCAAGCCUGAUGCAGCGACGCCGCGUGAGGGAUGACGGCCUUCGGGUUGUAAACCUCUUUCAGUACCGACGAAGCGCGAGUGACGGUAGGUACAGAAGAAGGACCGGCCAACUACGUGCCAGCAGCCGCGGUAAUACGUAGGGUCCGAGCGUUGUCCGGAAUUACUGGGCGUAAAGAGCUCGUAGGUGGUUUGUCGCGUUGUUCGUGAAAACUCACAGCUUAACUGUGGGCGUGCGGGCGAUACGGGCACACUGGAGUACUGCAGGGGAG
rnacentral:rRNA from 1 species